rnacentral:ncRNA from 1 species
GAUUGAUGCUUUAAAAGGGAAUUCGGUGUAAUACCGAAGCUGUACCCGCAGCCGUAUGUUUCAUCUAUCCAAUAUUGAGUAUAGAGCCACUGAUGGCAGUUAGAGCAUUCUUGUUUGAGCUGUUUUUGGGAAGGUUUCAAUUAUUGGGAAACGAGCCGGAAGACCUGCCAUCAAAUCAA